rnacentral:rRNA from 1 species
ACGGUUACCUUGUUACGACUUCACCCCAAUUAUCGAACCCACCUUCGGCCGCGCCCUCCUUGCGGUUAGGCUACGGACUUCGGGUGUUCCCGACUCUCAUGGUGUGACGGGCGGUGUGUACAAGGCCCGGGAACGUAUUCACCGCGGCAUGCUGAUCCGCGAUUACUAGCGAUUCCGACUUCAUGCAGUCGAGUUGCAGACUGCAAUCUGAACUGGGACGGCUUUUAGGGGUUCGCUCCACUUCACAGUAUUGCUUCCCUCUGUUGGCCGCCAUUGUAUUACGUGUGUAGCCCAGGACAUAAGGGGCAUGAUGAUUUGACGUCGUCCCCACCUUCCUCCGUUUUGUCAACGGCAGUCUCGCUAGAGUGCUCUUGCGUAGCAACUAACAAUAAGGGUUGCGCUCGUUGCGGGACUUAACCCAACAUCUCACGACACGAGCUGACGACAACCAUGCACCACCUGUCUCUACUUCCCCCGAAGGGUACCUAAUGUAUCUCUACUUCGUUAGUAGGAUGUCAAGCCCUGGUAAGGUUCUUCGCGUUGCAUCGAAUUAAACCACAUAAUCCACCGCUUGUGCGGGCCCCCGUCAAUUCCUUUGAGUUUCAACCUUGCGAUCGUACUCCCCAGGUGGGAUACUUAUUGCGUUAGCUGCGGCACGC